rnacentral:rRNA from 1 species
GUAGCUUGCUACAUUACCUAGCGGCGGACGGGUGAGUAAUGCUUAGGAAUCUGCCUAUUAGUGGGGGACAACAUUCCGAAAGGAAUGCUAAUACCGCAUACGUCCUACGGGAGAAAGCAGGGGAUCUUCGGACCUUGCGCUAAUAGAUGAGCCUAAGUCGGAUUAGCUAGUUGGUGGGGUAAAGGCCUACCAAGGCGACGAUCUGUAGCGGGUCUGAGAGGAUGAUCCGCCACACUGGGACUGAGACACGGCCCAGACUCCUACGGGAGGCAGCAGUGGGGAAUAUUGGACAAUGGGCGGAAGCCUGAUCCAGCCAUGCCGCGUGUGUGAAGAAGGCCUUUUGGUUGUAAAGCACUUUAAGCGAGGAGGAGGCUACUCUAGUUAAUACCUAGAGAUAGUGGACGUUACUCGCAGAAUAAGCACCGGCUAACUCUGUGCCAGCAGCCGCGGUAAUACAGAGGGUGCGAGCGUUAAUCGGAUUUACUGGGCGUAAAGCGUGCGUAGGCGGCUGAUUAAGUCGGAUGUGAAAUCCCUGAGCUUAACUUAGGAAUUGCAUUCGAUACUGGUCAGCUAGAGUAUGGGAGAGGAUGGUAGAAUUCCAGGUGUAGCGGUGGAAAUGCGUAGAGAUCUGGAGGAAUACCGAUGGCGAA